rnacentral:rRNA from 1 species
GUUGAUGGCUUUACUGUCUCUUACUUCCAAUYYGUGAAAUUGACCUUCCCGUGAAGAGGCGGGAAUAUGACAAUAAGACGAGAAGACCCUAUGGAGCUUUAAUUAACCGACCCAAAGAGAUCUUGAUAAUCAACCGACAGGGAUAACAUACCUCUACCAUGGGCCGACAAUUUAGGUUGGGGUGACCUCGGAGAAUAAAACAACCUCCGAGUGAUUUAAAUCUAGACUAACUAGUCGAAAGUACUACAUCACUUAUUGAUCCAAAAACUUGAUCAACGGAACAAGUUACCCUAGGGAWAACAGCCGCMAWCYUWUUUUAGAGUCCAUAUCGACAAUAGGAU